CAUCUUCCCCUCAUCCAUGAUGCUCACCUGAUGCUCACCUGAUGCUCACCUUGAUUAGCGACAACAACAAACAUGUGACAAUGUGCUUAUAACUUCGGUUUUGUUUCUUCAAGACACGAGUGAACACUUUGGUGUGACAUCUGAAAGGUGGAGGCAGCUGUGGACUGACUUUACUGACACUAUAUUUGCUGGACAGAGUCUCCAGGAGCUUGAUAUGGAGCUUAUGGGGAAAAGGAGGAAGAUCAAUCCUGGUGUCAGCAGCUCAGCGCACAUCUCUCCCAGUAACGGCAGGACAAGUGUCAGCUGGAGGAGAGGCAGCCGCCAUGCAGAGAGAGAGAGAAAGCGAGAGAGUGAGUGAACGAAGGGGCUUCUACACGUGCCGUGGAAGAAACCAGCAUCUCCAGUGACCGAGCGGCUUGACUUGGUCCUGGGAGUUGACGGCCCAGCAGGUCCGCCUGCAUUUGAAUGUCAAAGAGCAUCUCGGAGCUGUCACGGCACCAUACGGGAGGAACUUCUCUCCAGUCUUCACCGUUACCCACAAGGCACCUGGACAGCAGAGAAGAUGGCGUGGAGUGGCGGUUGAUGUGAGGGAAAGACAAUCAGAAAAUGAAGACGUUGCAGGAAAAGGCGAGUUGGUCGGAGAGCAGACGGCACGCCACGCUCGUCUGGAAGGCGAGCCAACAAAUCAGCUAUCAGCCCCGUUCCCGAGCCGCUACGGAGGUGAGAGGUCAGAUAAAGAAGGUCAGCUGGCGCCGGACCAGACUGCCCUCAGAGGUCUUUCCUCCAAAUGGAAUCAAAAGCCUUUUGACGGCUGCGAACCAUCGCCACACCGAGCCCCUGCCUUCAUUAGCUUCCUCACAUAAUUGGUGAGCUAAUUUUGAGACAGAUGCACGGCCUUGUCUUGAUGCAUUGAUGUGAUUUUCAUUCAUUUGGAUAAUGAAAGAAUUAAGUACCAUUUUGGUCUCUUUUUUCCUCCCUUUUCCCCGUCUCUCCUGUCUUGUUGAGCUCCUCCGUUUCCAGCUAAGUAAUGACAUUAUAAUUCUAAAUGUGCGAGUGUGUGCGCAGGAAACUACUGCUCUUUUUGUGAAUGCAAAAGAGCCUUUGUCUUUCCUGGCAUUGUGACUAAUACGCUUGGUAAGGGUUACAUACACACAAAUUGCACAGCCCAAAAAUAAAUGAGCCCUCAGAACUUAAAGAAAAAAAAAAAGGUCUGCUACACAAUCUGAGAAUGAAUUCUCGAAGUGUACAGUUUGUGCACUGGAGCAUAUUACAGUAAAAUUAGAAAUCACUCCUUCAACAUGUGUUUUCACUAUGUAAAGUGCAGGUACAGUUUCCCCUCCUAGUUGGCCUUUGGAUUUAAUACAGUAACUGAUUGCUACUUUUAAGGACUGCCAAAUGUCAUGCACUGCUUUUUGUUGCACACAGGCUGUAAGUUUUAUUUAAUCAGUUCCUUUCACCUUAAAU